UGGAAAGUCAUGCCAGAGCUUAGGCUGAAAACAGACAUUUACAUGAGAGAUCAGAAGAAGACCAAUAUUCCUAAUGGCAGUAUUCCGACCCAUAGAUGGCGGAAGACUGUCUAUCGGAAAUUUUACGGCUCAGACAUCGUUCAACCUCGCCGAACUUCGAGCUAAGUUUUGUUCCAAAUUAGGAAGUUUCCGUAGAAACUAAAAAUGGCUGAAACGAGCGAAACAGUAGUGGACAGUGUGACAACUUUUCAACAACAUAAAAGUAUUUACGAUCCCGUAACUUCAACAGAUGUGAUAAAGGAAGAGAAAGUUGAAAGUGAGGAUCAUCCACAGGAGCCUUUGGAACUGAUACUGCAGUCUUCUGAACACUGCAACGGAAAUGUUGGCAGUAAG